AACGAACGCUGGCGGCAGGCUUAACACAUGCAAGUCGAACGCAUGCCCUCGGGCAUGGGUGGCUGACGGGUGAGUAACGCGUGGGGAACUACCUCUUGGUCCGGCCUAGCUCUGGGAAAUUGGAGCUAAUAACGUAUGUGUAUUGCGGGUCAAAGCUUCAUCGGCAAGGGAUGGGGUCGAGUCGGAUUAGCUUGUUGGUGGGGUUACCGCCUACCCAGGCGAGGAUUCGUGGCUGGUCUUAGAGGAUGAUCAGCCACUAUGGGACUGAGACACGGCCCAAACUCCGACGCAGGGCAGCAGUGUGGAAUAUUAGACGAGGAACGCAAGCGUAAUCCAGCCAUGCCGGGGAAGAGAUGAAGGCCCUAGUGAUGUAAAGCUCUUUGACCGGUAGCGAUAAUGACGGUAACCGGAGAAGAAGCCCCGGCUAACUACGUG
rnacentral:rRNA from 1 species